AAGCUACCACUAGUGAGGUCACUGCCCUUUUCCUUCUCUCUCUCUCAUAGAAUGCGACCUUCCCUCUGCCCUAGCUCCGAUUCACCCGAUCCUCCCUUCACCUCUUCGUGUUGCUGCCAACCACCAUGGCCCGAUGCCCGAUCGUCACUGCCUUGAUGCCGAUGCCAAAGAGCCCUCCGAGUGCCACCCAAGCACUGUAUCUCAGAGCAACUCCACCGUCUCCCCCGUACGAAGACCACUCGAUGAUGUUGCAGAUCUACUGUCGACAUCUUAUCACUGUCUAAUCUCAUCGGAUCUUUGCUCGAUGUUGCCAUCCGAUAGAGUCGGCGUCACUCGAUAGCCGUCUGAAAUGCAGCGCCCUUUUGUUGGGGCAGUCCAGCACUACCAACUGUAGCGGUAGUAAGGGGGUGAUUGUUCCUAUCGAUCGACCAUUCUUCUUCUCCAACUAUCUUUGAGCCGUGCCCUAGCUUUGAUCAGCGUCACUGACCUUCCGACCGACCAAAUGUAGUCAUCUCUGUGAACCACUUACACUGCCUCUUCUCCAUAACAUGGCUACUAUUGCUACCUCACCUUCUGGUGAGCAAUUGGUUUCUCCUCUGGUGGAGAUGACGAAGAAGCAGUGAGCUCUGACAAAAACAAUUGCUAAGAUGGCCAUUAUAGCUCCGACCACCACUGUCUGCCAGCAUUCCCUACUCCGGUCAUUUUCUUCGAUUAUGCACUGUCGACUACAGUGAGCUUCCACCAAAGAGCAAGAAGAUAAAGGAAAAAGCUGGAUGAGUUAGAGGAGCAGCAGGAGGGGCAACGAAGAUGUGUG